GAACCAUCAAGAGAGAUUGAGGGACAGGCCCAUUGAGAUCUCAGCAACCUACAUAUUAUGUGUGGUGCUAAUUCCUGAUAGAUGGAAA
rnacentral:ncRNA from 2 species